rnacentral:rRNA from 2 species
GCAAGUCGAGCGAACAGAUGAGAAGCUUGCUUCUCUGAUGUUAGCGGCGGACGGGUGAGUAACACGUGGGUAACCUACCUAUAAGACUGGGAUAACUCCGGGAAACCGGGGCUAAUACCGGAUAAUAUUUUGAACCGCAUGGUUCAAUAGUGAAAGACGGUUUCGGCUGUCACUUAUAGAUGGACCCGCGCCGUAUUAGCUAGUUGGUAAGGUAACGGCUUACCAAGGCGACGAUACGUAGCCGACCUGAGAGGGUGAUCGGCCACACUGGAACUGAGACACGGUCCAGACUCCUACGGGAGGCAGCAGUAGGGAAUCUUCCGCAAUGGGCGAAAGCCUGACGGAGCAACGCCGCGUGAGUGAUGAAGGUCUUCGGAUCGUAAAACUCUGUUGUUAGGGAAGAACAAAUUUGUUAGUAACUGAACAAGUCUUGACGGUACCUAACCAGAAAGCCACGGCUAACUACGUGCCAGCAGCCGCGGUAAUACGUAGGUGGCAAGCGUUAUCCGGAAUUAUUGGGCGUAAAGCGCGCGUAGGCGGUUUCUUAAGUCUGAUGUGAAAGCCCACGGCUCAACCGUGGAGGGUCAUUGGAAACUGGGAAACUUGAGUGCAGAAGAGGAGAGUGGAAUUCCAUGUGUAGCGGUGAAAUGCGCAGAGAUAUGGAGGAACACCAGUGGCGAAGGCGGCUCUCUGGUCUGUAACUGACGCUGAUGUGCGAAAGCGUGGGGAUCAAACAGGAUUAGAUACCCUGGUAGUCCACGCCGUAAACGAUGAGUGCUAAGUGUUAGGGGGUUUCCGCCCCUUAGUGCUGCAGCUAACGCAUUAAGCACUCCGCCUGGGGAGUACGACCGCAAGGUUGAAACUCAAAGGAAUUGACGGGGACCCGCACAAGCGGUGGAGCAUGUGGUUUAAUUCGAAGCAACGCGAAGAACCUUACCAAAUCUUGACAUCCUUUGACCGCUCUAGAGAUAGAGUCUUCCCCUUCGGGGGACAAAGUGACAGGUGGUGCAUGGUUGUCGUCAGCUCGUGUCGUGAGAUGUUGGGUUAAGUCCCGCAACGAGCGCAACCCUUAAGCUUAGUUGCCAUCAUUAAGUUGGGCACUCUAGGUUGACUGCCGGUGACAAACCGGAGGAAGGUGGGGAUGACGUCAAAUCAUCAUGCCCCUUAUGAUUUGGGCUACACACGUGCUACAAUGGAUAAUACAAAGGGCAGCGAAUCCGCGAGGCCAAGCAAAUCCCAUAAAAUUAUUCUCAGUUCGGAUUGUAGUCUGCAACUCGACUACAUGAAGCUGGAAUCGCUAGUAAUCGUAGAUCAGCAUGCUACGGUGAAUACGUUCCCGGGUCUUGUACACACCGCCCGUCACACCACGAGAGUUUGUAACACCCGAAGCCGGUGGAGUAACCUUUUAGGAGCUAG